AGGUGGGGGUAGCCUGUUUACAAUGUAAGGCAUGGAAAAAGAAGCUGCUUGCCGCCAUUCCUCCGGUUCGCUCUGGCUGUUUGCUGUUCGGCUGCCAUUCCCCCCUUUGCCCUUGUUGCUUUGCUACCUUCUGCCUCGGAGCCAGCCAAGUAUGGACUGAAACCUCCACAAACUGUAAGCUAAAUAAACCUUUCCUUCCUUCAUUUUGGGCCUUGGGUAAUUUCUCACAGCAACGAGAGAAAAGUAACCAAGACAGUCUGCCUCCCUCUGCCAGCCCCAUGUGUGCUGCUAUCCUCCUGGGUGGCAACCAAAUCCCAUCCGUAGGAGACAAAUGUUCUGCAAUUGCUCUGCAACCUCAGCAGAGCUCCCAGCUUCACAUAGGAGAGGACAGCAGCUGGGACAGAUAAACUUUCACACCCUGGGCCAGGGACGGUGAGCCUUUUAGAGACCGAGUGCCUGUCUCAAACCCAAAUCCCACUUAUUUAUGGCAAGUGCAAUUAAACCCAAAUACUGAAGUUUUAGUUUAGAAAGAAAUCUAAAUGUAAUAACAUCUUUUGUCUUAACAAAAAGCCCACCAUAAUAGAGAUUUACAUGAUAUAAACAGCUUUUCACUGAAAGGUAAAAGGCUGCAUUUGGUGUGCUGCUAUCCGACGCUUGGCUUCUGGGGCAAUGCUGGAGUGACUUGGCGGGCAUGCCAGAAGAGAGAGCUCUGUGCGUCUGCUGCAGCAUGUGUGCCACAGAUUCACUGCCACUGCCCUCCGCUAUCUUACAGCACUGGUUACAGGCGAGGGUCAGCAAGAUGAGCACGACAAAGGACGGAGCGGGCCGUGACCGCGGUGAGGAGGGGCUGGUCCAGGUGAAACUGCAGCUUGUGCUUUCCCCAUGGUGCUCGGCAGGGGAGGUAAGUUCACAUGUGCUUCACAGCUCUCUAAAACUUAGAAAUAGCUCAAUAAUCUGUGUGUGUCUUCUAAUUGUAAAGAGUAGUAAAAGUUGUCAAAAAAUUAUCCGAGGAAAUAUACUUUGAAUGUUUCACUAUUUACUUUGUUAUUAAAUACCCUGGCAGGUCAUCAUUUAUAAAUGUGUAGGACAUUAAUGAGUUUUAGAUCAAAUAAAGUUAUUUUUAUCUGUAAAAUUCCUAAUGUUUCAAAUGCACUUUGAAUUAGUCAUAAAACAGUGAUAGCGAAUCUUUUAAAGACCAAGUGUGCGAACUGCAACCCCAAAUCUACUCAUUUGUCCCACAGAACCAAUACUGCAAUUAAGUCUGAACACCGAGGUUUGAGUUUUGAAAAAAUGACUCUACAAUAACAUCUGUCUUAAAACAUACAUUAACGUGCGUGCUAUAGGUUCCGCACAGUGUCAAAAUAUCGUACCUUAUUUUUAAUGUCUAACUUUCAAAAUAAAUCCAAUACUGUAUUUAAAACACUUAUUUCAUAGUAAUGAUAUUACUUUUUGCAAUACUAUGUAGUGACACCACAUGAAAUGACGUGUUGGUGUUUGGGCGCAUAUUAAUAGAGAGGA
rnacentral:lncRNA from 1 species